CGGAGGAAAAGAAACUAACAAGGAUUCCCCUAGUAGCGGCGAGCGAAGCGGGAAAAGCCCAAUAUGAAAAUCCAGUUUACUGGAGUUGUAUCGUCUUCUUUUGGAAUUUCAGUGCGAGUAAGUAGCAUGGAAAUGCUCACCGCGGAGGGUUAGAGUCCCGUCCAUCUCGCUCAGGAAGUUCCGCACAAAAGUUGGCAAGUGAGUCGGGUAGCUUGGGACUGCUGCUCUAACUGGUGGUAAAUCUCAUCAAAGGCUAAAUAACGGUGGGAGACCGAUAGUGAACAAGUACCGCGAGGGAAAGAUGACAAGCACUUUGAAAAGAGGGUGAAAAGAGCCUGAAACCGUUACGAGGGAAGCGGAUCGCGUUGGAGUAUGGCUUGCUACAUGUUCAGCCGGAUUUGUUUCGGUGUAUUCAUGUCAGCAGUUAUCCGUUGUGGCUUUUCUGCGGCGUUGGUGCUGCGGGAGGGUGAGGGCUCCCCUUUUUAUGGGUUGAGGACGACGGGGUGACGACGCGAUACGACCCGUCUUGAAACACGGACCAAGGAGUCUAGCACUAUUGCGAGUCGAAGGGUGGAAACCCGUGGGCGCAGUGAAAGCGAACUGUUGUAAAACGAGCAGUUUGGGGCGGCAUAAAAUCGUUGAUUUUAAGACUGACCUAGAGCAGUUGUGCUGGGACCCGAAAGAUGGUGAACUAUGCCGGAGUAGGGCAAAGCCAGAAGAAAUUCUGGUGGAGGCUCGUAGCGGUGCUGACGUGCAAAUCGCUCGUCGAACUUGGGUAUAGGGGCGAAAGACUCAUCGAACCAUCUAGUAGCUGGUUCCCUCCGAAGUUUCUCUCAGGAUAGCGGGCCGACAGACGUUGUUUUGUGCGGUAAAGCGAAUGAUUAGCGUAUUUGGGGACAUUUGGUCUUCGGGCGAUUCUCAAACUUUAAAUGCGCAAGGGUGCCGCUGCUUUGGUGAGCGGUACCGGAAAAAACGUCGGCCUCGUGGGCCACUUUUGGUAAGCAGAACUGGCGAUACGGGAUGAACCGUAAGCAUGGUUAAGGCGCCAAAUUGCACGCUUAUAGAUCCCACAAAAGGUGUUGAUUCAUCGAGACAGCAGGACGGUGGCCAUGGAAGUCGGAAUCCGCCAAGGAGUGUGUAACAACUCACCUGCCGAAUGAAUUAGCCCUGAAAAUGGAUGGCGCUAAAGCGGGCAGCCGACACCAUGCCGUCUGUUUAAGGUAUACGAACAGAUGAGUAGGAGGGCGUGGUGGCCGUGUCGAAGCGUGCGUGCGAACGCGUGUGGAACGGCCACUAGUGCAGAUCUUGGUGGUAGUAGCAAAUAUUCAAGCGAGAUCCUUGAAGGGCGAAGCGGGGAAGGGUUCCACGCGAACAUUGAUUGGGCGUGGGUGAGUCGUUCCUAAGCCGGGUGGUCAUUGCUGAAUAACGGCGAAAGGGAAGCGGGUUUAAAUUCCCGCACACGGAUGUGGAGGCGGCGACGCGUUUUGUUGGGGCGAAGACGCCGGCGGUGGCGCUGGGCAGAGAUGUCUUUUCUGUUUAACCGGAGCAUGAGUGCGGUGUGGAAUCCGCUUGUCGGGAGAAACACGCACACGAGGUAAGAGCGCCGGGACUUUUCCGGCGUCCAGCUCGCCAUCGACGGCCCUUGAAAAUUUGCCUGCUGGAAGGAUCCACGCCGUGGCGUACCGAUAACCGCAUCAGGUCCCCAAGGUGAACAGCCUCUGUCCGGUAUGAAUAAUGCAGGUAAGGGAAGUCGGCAAAUUGGACCCGUAACUUUGGGAAAAGGGUUGGCUCUAGUGCUGCGUGGGAGUGGUUGUCUGUUGUCGGCCGUAGUUCUUGGCUAGCUGGGGGGGCUGCGAGGCGUUCUUUUUGCUGUUCUGUGCUCUUCGGAGGCGGGGGGUUUAGGGAAUGUAUUGUGGCUUUGCUGGUGGGCUGGUGCGAUCGCUGCGGACGGCGCCCACGGUGUGCAGCAGACUAAGAACUGCAACGGGCAAAGGGAAUCCGACUGUUUAAUUAAAACAAAGCAUUGCGAGGGCCAUGGGUGGUGAUGACGCAAU
rnacentral:rRNA from 1 species